AUGAACGCUAGCUACAGGCUUAACACAUGCAAGUCGAGGGGCAGCAUGGUCUUAGCUUGCUAAGGCCGAUGGCGACCGGCGCACGGGUGAGUAACACGUAUCCAACCUGCCGUCUACUCUUGGACAGCCUUCUGAAAGGAAGAUUAAUACAAGAUGGCGUCAUGAGUUCACAUGUUCACAUGAUUAAAGGUAUUCCGGUAGACGAUGGGGAUGCGUUCCAUUAGAUAGUAGGCGGGGUAACGGCCCACCUAGUCUUCGAUGGAUAGGGGUUCUGAGAGGAAGGUCCCCCACAUUGGAACUGAGACACGGUCCAAACUCCUACGGGAGGCAGCAGUGAGGAAUAUUGGUCAAUGGGCGAGAGCCUGAACCAGCCAAGUAGCGUGAAGGAUGACUGCCCUAUGGGUUGUAAACUUCUUUUAUAAAGGAAUAAAGUCGGGUAUGCAUACCCGUUUGCAUGUACUUUAUGAAUAAGGAUCGGCUAACUCCGUGCCAGCAGCCGCGGUAAUACGGAGGAUCCGAGCGUUAUCCGGAUUUAUUGGGUUUAAAGGGAGCGUAGAUGGAUGUUUAAGUCAGUUGUGAAAGUUUGCGGCUCAACCGUAAAAUUGCAGUUGAUACUGGAUAUCUUGAGUGCAGUUGAGGCAGGCGGAAUUCGUGGUGUAGCGGUGAAAUGCUUAGAUAUCACGAAGAACUCCGAUUGCGAAGGCAGCCUGCUAAGCUGCAACUGACAUUGAGGCUCGAAAGUGUGGGUAUCAAACAGGAUUAGAUACCCUGGUAGUCCACACGGUAAACGAUGAAUACUCGCUGUUUGCGAUAUACAGCAAGCGGCCAAGCGAAAGCGUUAAGUAUUCCACCUGGGGAGUACGCCGGCAACGGUGAAACUCAAAGGAAUUGACGGGGGCCCGCACAAGCGGAGGAACAUGUGGUUUAAUUCGAUGAUACGCGAGGAACCUUACCCGGGCUUAAAUUGCAGAUGAAUUACGGUGAAAGCCGUAAGCCGCAAGGCAUCUGUGAAGGUGCUGCAUGGUUGUCGUCAGCUCGUGCCGUGAGGUGUCGGCUUAAGUGCCAUAACGAGCGCAACCCUUGUUGUCAGUUACUAACAGGUUCCGCUGAGGACUCUGACAAGACUGCCAUCGUAAGAUGUGAGGAAGGUGGGGAUGACGUCAAAUCAGCACGGCCCUUACGUCCGGGGCUACACACGUGUUACAAUGGGGGGUACAGAGGGCCGCUACCACGCGAGUGGAUGCCAAUCCCAAAAACCUCUCUCAGUUCGGACUGGAGUCUGCAACCCGACUCCACGAAGCUGGAUUCGCUAGUAAUCGCGCAUCAGCCACGGCGCGGUGAAUACGUUCCCGGGCCUUGUACACACCGCCCGUCAAGCCAUGGGAGCCGGGGGUACCUGAAGUGCGUAACCGCGAGGAGCGCCCUAGGGUAAAACUGGUGACUGGGGCU
rnacentral:rRNA from 1 species